rnacentral:rRNA from 1 species
CGGCCGCGGUAUCCUAACCGUGCUAAGGUAGCGUAAUCACUUGUCUUCUAAAUGAAGACUAGUAUGAAAGGCAUCACGAGGGCCAAGCUGUCUCCCCCCUCUAAUCAGUGAACCUAAUCUCCCCGUGAAGAAGCGGGGAUUUACAUAUAAGACGAGAAGACCCUAUGGAGCUUAAAACGAUAUAACACCUGCUCAGGCCCCCCCCAUUCAGAUUUUUUACCUCAGCACGCUAACUAUAGGUUUUUGGUUGGGGUGACCGCGGAGAAAAACUAAUCCUCCACAAUGAAAGGAGCCUUCCCCAACAAUAAGCUACAACUUUACAUUUCAAUAAAUUGACAUCCAUUGACCCAAUAUUUGAUCAACGAACCAAGUUACCCUAGGGAUAACAGCGCAAUCCACUUCAAGAGCCCCUAUCGACAAGUGGGCUUACGACCUCGAUGUUGGAUCGGGGGAUCCCAGUGGUGCAGCAGCUACUAAAGGUUCGUUUGUUCAACGAUUAAA